rnacentral:sRNA from 2 species
GAAACAAUUUCCCAAUCACUCACAGUCUUCACUCAUCAUCUAGCCCACCCACCAGUGACUAUAGCUCUACAUAAGAUUCAUCAUCUCUCUAAAGCUCAGUCCACUCUCCCAUCCUCCAAACAUGAAAGGAUAAUAUACACUUCUCUGCACCCCAUCCAUGAUCAGUCUCCAUCCACUCCACAGAGAGUGUCUCUCCCCUCCUCACUCCUAUCAUCAUAGCCCCCACCACUCCAUACUGCUGAGAAGUCAUUUGCUGUGGAUGCACACAGUAAAUCUGACUGUGGGCACAAGACUGAGUUGACUAACUCAGACACAAAUCCCCAGACACUCACAGAGGCAACAAAUCACACAAGGCCAACACUGAUUUCAGACCACACCCACAUCAAUGCACAGCACAAAGAGAUCAAUCAAUACAGCUCUUCAUCAAAGCUACAAGAAUCCUCUGAAUGAUAUAGAUAAGAAUCUGUCAGACAUCCCAUUCAACUAUAGCAGUUCCAAGCAGACUAAGAAACUCAAGUUGCAGACAAGAGAUCAUUGACAGUAGUGAGUACUCUAUACAUUGUUGAGAACUGUGUACUGUGUUCAGCACUCACAUCAGAAAGAUAUUGCACAGUGAAGAUAUUCAAGUCAGCUGUCAAUCUGCAAUGAUUUGAUGCAGAGAAGGCUCUUCAGAGAGUGUUCACAAAGAAUUUGCAUCAAUUCUGAAACUGAGUUCUUGGAAAGCUGAAAUAUGAAAAGGAAGACUGCAAACUCAAAGAUAUCAAGAAGACAAAUUUGCUCAAGAGCAACUGAAAGUAUUUUCAAGACUAUUAUAGAAAAAUGACAGAAAAUGAAAUCAGUGAGAAGAUGAGUGAAGAUAUUCAGUAAAUACAUCUAUACAAUACUCUUCUGCAUCUUCAUAUGGCACUGACAUCUCUGCUGAUAGAGCAUACAGUCUCUGGCUGAUAAACACAGUCUUAACAAUCAGUCAUACAAGAACAUUUUCAUCUACAUCAAGAAUAUAAUUCCCUUCAACCAGACAAUUCUUCAGAUACAAAAGAAGCAAUUUCAUCUGAAACUGCAACAUCUUCUGCUGUGCUUCUAUAACAUACUGAGUCUGUUUACAGUCAAUUAAGAGAGUGCUAUUCUGAACCUUCAAUACAAGAAUCUGCUUCUGUCUGUGCAGAAGAAUUCAUAUAAAGAACUCUCUGUAUCAACAGUCAACUUC